GUGCCAGCAGCCGCGGUAAUACAGAGGGUGCGAGCGUUAAUCGGAUUUACUGGGCGUAAAGCGUGCGUAGGCGGCUAAUUAAGUCAAAUGUGAAAUCCCCGAGCUUAACUUGGGAAUUGCAUUCGAUACUGGUUAGCUAGAGUAUGGGAGAGGAUGGUAGAAUUCCAGGUGUAGCGGUGAAAUGCGUAGAGAUCUGGAGGAAUACCGAUGGCGAAGGCAGCCAUCUGGCCUAAUACUGACGCUGAGGUACGAAAGCAUGGGGAGCAAACAGGAUUAGAUACCCUGGUAGUCCAUGCCGUAAACGAUGUCUACUAGCCGUUGGGGCCUUUGAGGCUUUAGUGGCGCAGCUAACGCGAUAAGUAGACCGCCUGGGGAGUACGGUCGCAAGACUAAAACUCAAAUGAAUUGACGGGGGCCCGCACAAGCGGUGGGGCAUGUGGUUUAAUUCGAUGCAACGCGAAGAACCUUACCUGGCCUUGACAUANUAGAAACCUUCCAGAGAUGGAUUGGUGCCUUCGGGAAUCUACAUACAGGUGCUGCAUGGCUGUCGUCAGCUCGUGUCGUGAGAUGUUGGGUUAAGUCCCGCAACGAGCGCAACCCUUUUCCUUACUUGCCAUCGGGUAAUGCCGGGAACUUUAAGGAUACUGCCAGUGACAAACUGGAGGAAGGCGGGGACGACGUCAAGUCAUCAUGGCCCUUACGGCCAGGGCUACACACGUGCUACAAUGGUCGGUACAAAGGGUUGCUACAUAGCGAUAUGAUGCUAAUCUCAAAAAGCCGAUCGUAGUUCGGAUGGGAGCCGGCAACUCGACUCCAUGAAGUCGGAAUCGCUAGUAAUCGCGGAUCAAAAUGCCUCGGUGAAUACGUUCCCGGGCCCUGGACACACCGCCCCU
rnacentral:rRNA from 1 species